GUUCAUGUAGCUCAACAGUAGAGCAUAUUACUUUUAGUGAUAGGGUGCAGGUUCAAAUCCUGCUGUGAACA
rnacentral:tRNA from 1 species